AACGAACGCUGGCGGCAUGCCUAACACAUGCAAGUCGAACGAGACCUUCGGGUCUAGUGGCGCACGGGUGCGUAACGCGUGUGAACCUGCCCUUAGGUUCGGAAUAACUCCCCGAAAGGGGUGCUAAUACCGGAUAAUGUCUUCGGACCAAAGAUUUAUCGCCUUUGGAUGGGCCCGCGUUGGAUUAGCUAGUUGGUAGGGUAAAAGCCUACCAAGGCGACGAUCCAUAGCUGGUCUGAGAGGAUGAUCAGCCACACUGGGACUGAGACACGGCCCAGACUCCUACGGGAGGGAGGAGUGGGGAAUAUUGGACAAUGGGAGAAAGCCUGAUCCAGCAAUGCCGCGUAAGUGAUGAAGGACUUAGGGUUGUAAAGCUAUUUUAACCGGGAUGAUAAUGACAGUACCGGGAGAAUAAGCUCCGGAUAACUCCGUG
rnacentral:rRNA from 1 species